rnacentral:rRNA from 1 species
GGCGGCAUGCCUAAUACAUGCAAGUAGAACGCUGAAGGAGGAGCUUGCUUCUCCGGAUGAGUUGCGAACGGGUGAGUAACGCGUAGGUAACCUGCCUGGUAGCGGGGGAUAACUAUUGGAAACGAUAGCUAAUACCGCAUAAGAGUAGAUGUUGCAUGACAUUUGCUUAAAAGGUGCAAUUGCAUCACUACCAGAUGGACCUGCGUUGUAUUAGCUAGUUGGUGGGGUAACGGCUCACCAAGGCGACGAUACAUAGCCGACCUGAGAGGGUGAUCGGCCACACUGGGACUGAGACACGGCCCAGACUCCUACGGGAGGCAGCAGUAGGGAAUCUUCGGCAAUGGACGGAAGUCUGACCGAGCAACGCCGCGUGAGUGAAGAAGGUUUUCGGAUCGUAAAGCUCUGUUGUAAGAGAAGAACGAGUGUGAGAGUGGAAAGUC